AUUGAACGCUGGCGGCAGGCCUAACACAUGCAAGUCGAGCGAGCGGCGGACGGGUGAGAAGUGUAUGGGGUCUGCCCGAUAGAGGGGGAUAACUACAGGAAACGGUAGCUAAUACCGCAUACUAUCGGAGAAUCCCUAUGGGAUUAGCUAGUAGGGGAGGUAAUGGCUCACCUAGGCGACGAUCACUAGCUGGUCUGAGAGGAUGAUCAGCCACACUGGGACUGAGACAAGGCCCAGACGCCUACGGAGGCAGCAGUGGGGAAUAGUGCGCAAUGGGCGCAAGCCUGAUACAGCCAUGCCGCGUGUAUGAAGAAGGCCUUAGGGUUGUAAAGUACUUUCAGUCGGGAGGCGUUACCGACAGAAGAAGCACCGGCUAACUCCGUGCCAGCAGCCGCGGUAAUAC
rnacentral:rRNA from 1 species